UACGGGGGGGGCAAGCGUUGUUCGGAAUUACUGGGCGUAAAGGGCUUGUAGGUGGCCAACUAAGUCAGACGUGAAAUCCCUCGGCUUAACCGGGGAACUGCGUCUGAUACUGGAUGGCUGGAGUGUGGGAGAGGGAUGCGGAAUUCCAGGUGUAGCGGUGAAAUGCGUUGAUAUUAUGGGGAACACCGAAAGCGAAGGCAAGAAACUGGGCCGCUCCUGACACUGAAACACGAAAGCGUGGGUCGCGAAUGGG
rnacentral:rRNA from 1 species